rnacentral:rRNA from 1 species
GACGAACGCUGGCGGCGUGCUUAACACAUGCAAGUCGAACGGAAAGGCCCUGCUUUUGUGGGGUGCUCGAGUGGCGAACGGGUGAGUAACACGUGAGUAACCUGCCCUUGACUUUGGGAUAACUUCAGGAAACUGGGGCUAAUACCGGAUAGGAGCUCCUGCUGCAUGGUGUGGGUUGGAAAGUUUCGACGGUUGGGGAUGGACUCGCGGCUUAUCAGCUUGUUGGUGGGGUAGUGGCUUACCAAGGCUUUGACGGGUAGCCGGCCUGAGAGGGUGACCGGCCACAUUGGGACUGAGAUACGGCCCAGACUCCUACGGGAGGCAGCAGUGGGGAAUAUUGCACAAUGGGCGGAAGCCUGAUGCAGCAACGCCGCGUGCGGGAUGACGGCCUUCGGGUUGUAAACCGCUUUCGCCUGUGACGAAGCGUGAGUGACGGUAAUGGGUAAAGAAGCACCGGCUAACUACGUG